UGUCAGUAAGUAAGAAAAAAGGGCACACCACUUGAGAGACAGAAUUCUCUUCUAACAUCAAGCAAUUCCUGAUUAUGACGCAUAAAGCCUGUCACAGUUGCAUUUUGAAGGUAAAUAGAGAGUACCUAUGAGAAUAGAUCAACCAGAACAAUUUUCUGGAAGCCAUUAGAUGCAUGAAUGAGGCAGUAUCCCAUACAGCAAGCAGAGGGGAAGUCCAACGAGCUACGGAAAAGGAGCUUUUUAAAGUCCUCUCAAAUAGCUGCCAGCCGCUGGCUUCUCUUUGAUAAAUAGAAAGCAGUUGUCUGAAGGAUGGCUAUUACUCUCCUCACAAGAUGAAAGGGAAGGAGGAGAUGGAGUCUAAUUCUUCAUUCACUGGACUGUACUGAUCAAAUCUCAAAUUCGCAAGAUGGACACGCAAAUUAAAUCCUUUCUAGAGGAAGUGGACAUUGAUUUCAUAUGAAGUUCUAGGACUCUAAUUACAGGCCUG